rnacentral:rRNA from 1 species
UACGUAGGUGACAAGCGUUGUCCGGAUUUACUGGGCGUAAAGAGCGCGCAGGCGGUCGUUCAAGUCGAGUGUGAAAGCCCCCGGCUCAACUGGGGAGGGUCAUUCGAUACUGAUCGACUCGAAGGCAGGAGAGGGAAGUGGAAUUCCCGGUGUAGUGGUGAAAUACGUAGGUAUCGGGAGGAACACCAGUGGCGAAGGCGACUUCCUGGCCUGUUCUUGACGCUGAGGCGCGAAAGCCAGGGGAGCGAACGGG